UGGGUAGGGGAGCGUUCUGUAAGCCUGUGAAGGUGGCCUGUGAGGGUUGCUGGAGGUAUCAGAAGUGCGAAUGCUGACAUAAGUAACGAUAAAGCGGGUGAAAAGCCCGCUCGCCGGAAGACCAAGGGUUCCUGUCCAACGUUAAUCGGGGCAGGGUGAGUCGACCCCUAAGGCGAGGCCGAAAGGCGUAGUCGAUGGGAAACGGGUUAAUAUUCCCGUACUUGGUGUUACUGCGAAGGGGGGACGGAGAAGGCUAUGUUGGCCGGGCGACGGUUGUCCCGGUUUAAGCGUGUAGGUGUGUGUUCCAGGUAAAUCCGGUUCACUUUAACACUGAGGCGUGACGACGAGGCACUACGGUGCUGAAGCAACAAAUGCCCUGCUUCCAGGAAAAGCCUCUAAGCAUCAGGUAACAUCAAAUCGUACCCCAAACCGACACAGGUGGUCAGGUAGAGAAUACCAAGGCGCUUGAGAGAACUCGGGUGAAGGAACUAGGCAAAAUGGUGCCGUAACUUCGGGAGAAGGCACGCUGACACGUAGGUGAAGUGAUUUACUCACGGAGCUGAAGUCAGUCGAAGAUACCAGCUGGCUGCAACUGUUUAUUAAAAACACAGCACUGUGCAAACACGAAAGUGGACGUAUACGGUGUGACGCCUGCCCGGUGCCGGAAGGUUAAUUGAUGGGGUCAGCGCAAGCGAAGCUCCUGAUCGAAGCCCCGGUAAACGGCGGCCGUAACUAUAACGGUCCUAAGGUAGCGAAAUUCCUUGUCGGGUAAGUUCCGACCUGCACGAAUGGCGUAAUGAUGGCCAGGCUGUCUCCACCCGAGACUCAGUGAAAUUGAACUCGCUGUGAAGAUGCAGUGUACCCGCGGCAAGACGGAAAGACCCCGUGAACCUUUACUAUAGCUUGACACUGAACAUUGAGCCUUGAUGUGUAGGAUAGGUGGGAGGCUUUGAAGUGUGGACGCCAGUCUGCAUGGAGCCGACCUUGAAAUACCACCCUUUAAUGUUUGAUGUUCUAACGUGGACCCGUAAUCCGGGUUGCGGACAGUGUCUGGUGGGUAGUUUGACUGGGGCGGUCUCCUCCUAAAGAGUAACGGAGGAGCACGAAGGUUGGCUAAUCCUGGUCGGACAUCAGGAGGUUAGUGCAAUGGCAUAAGCCAGCUUGACUGCGAGCGUGACGGCGCGAGCAGGUGCGAAAGCAGGUCAUAGUGAUCCGGUGGUUCUGAAUGGAAGGGCCAUCGCUCAACGGAUAAAAGGUACUCCGGGGAUAACAGGCUGAUACCGCCCAAGAGUUCAUAUCGACGGCGGUGUUUGGCACCUCGAUGUCGGCUCAUCACAUCCUGGGGCUGAAGUAGGUCCCAAGGGUAUGGCUGUUCGCCAUUUAAAGUGGUACGCGAGCUGGGUUUAGAACGUCGUGAGACAGUUCGGUCCCUAUCUGCCGUGGGCGCUGGAGAACUGAGGGGGGCUGCUCCUAGUACGAGAGGACCGGAGUGGACGCAUCACUGGUGUUCGGGUUGUCAUGCCAAUGGCACUGCCCGGUAGCUAAAUGCGGAAGAGAUAAGUGCUGAAAGCAUCUAAGCACGAAACUUGCCCCGAGAUGAGUUCU
rnacentral:rRNA from 2 species